ensembl:lincRNA
CUUUAAGUUGCUAAAUUGCUCAGGCUGGGCUAGAACUUGUGAUCCUUCUGCUGCAGGUGUCCAGAGAUCUGGGAUUGCAGGCGCGCGCUGUGCUGGCUGCCUCUUUGCAUCAUCCUGCUGGACGUGUACCCCACAGAGGUCUCCUCUGUUAGUAAAUACACUGGUCAGACUGGGCCACAUGCUGCUUCAGAAGUUCUGCUCCACGAAGAGUACAGAGAAACGACAUUCCCCGCGUGCUUACCAGACCUAGCUACAGCUGUUCGGUGUCAGAAGUGGGAACUCCGCUGGGGCGCUGGCCGGGCCAAAGGGGCCCGAGGGAAGCAGCGGCUCUCCUGAGGUUCUGUUUUUGCCCAUGGAUCCAGACUCUUCUUACCUCCCCGGCCGCGCCUGUCUGAGCUCCCCCAGGGAGACAACCCUGAAAUCAUCUCUCCCAGGGCAGGUGCUCGGAGAAGCCAGCCCAGCCACCAUAUGGUCAAAACAAUCCGGCUAAUGUUUAAAGGUAAAACUUUUCACCAUAAAAGGUACAGUGCCAUGGACUGCCCUCCCAGGACUCCCCCUGCUGUGAGCUCACUUUUCCCACUGUUCUCGCCACUUUCUGAAGCCGAUCUGGAAACCUUCCCUCUUUUGUGUCUUUAAGAGGUUUUACCGAGAAUACGGUGAAUGCUGCUGCCCAGUGUGAUCCAGAAAGGCCACUCAUGAAAGCGAGACACGGCAUCCUCCACAGCGCUCUCCAGACCCGGCCCGGUGUGACUUCUAGCUCUUCCCCGCAAGCAGGAUGGCAAUGAAAGGUAAACAUUUUGAAUCAACUCAGGACAUCAAGGCAGCUAUAACAAUGCAACUGAAGACACCCGUGAAAGAGGACUCCAGAACUGCCUCAGGAGAUGGUACAAACAAUGGGCUUGGAUUGAUUUCUUCUAGGUCUAGGAAAUGAAAAACACUAACACUGCAAUUCUUAUCAUCAAGAAAUGUGUGCCCUAGUGACAUGUAAAGUUUCUUUCAGCACUUUGAGUGUCAAGGUUCAAGCAGAAAAAGGGCGAAGAAAGAUUUGGGCAAAAGACGAUGCGCCUGUUGCUAACGUUUUCAGAGAAGGUUUGAGACACUGCUGGACAGUGCUCUGCAUCGCCGGCUCACGACAGAAGAUCUUUAAUUUCUUAAGCAAGGUGGGUACAGCGUGCUCUGUAAUCACUCAGGGUCUCAAAAUGACAGAACUCCUUCCUGCAGGUACUUAUAUAGGGAAAUAUAAUAUAAGUAUAUAAUAUAUAAUAUGUGCAUUCCUGUAGGGAAGAGCAGGGAGCUAAAUCUGGUGGCAACACCAAAAUGUUCACCGCUAGGUGAUUCGCUUCUGCCAACGUCGCAUCGAUUAGAGGACGCCCAGGAGGUGGAAAGUGCAUUUGCAUCCUCUGCCAUGGAGGAGACCUAGAGAGGAGCUACUGCGUCCCACUCUUCAGUGGCAGACAGGGCAAGCACGGUGCAGGCCCUCGUGGAGCAGUGGGUGACCAAUGCUGUGUCAUGUGCUUUGCGAAAGCGAGCAGGACACACGUGGAACCACUGCAUGCCUUCUGCUCAAGAAUCGCAUUUUCCAGCUGGGGAAGGCUCAGCUGGCCCAGAGUAAACGUCCUCACCUGAAACUGCCAUCCCCAGAAUGCAUUUCCUGCUCACUGGGUUAUGCCAACCAAGAACAAUUAUGUGGUUCUACAGUGCCAUGGAGACCCGAUUCUCCCUGUGUUUCUGGCCAGGCUUAGCAUGAACAAGCUUUAUGUCCUUUCCUAUAGCAGGAAAAAAAAGUCUACAUGCAAGAAUUCCGUCCCCCCACCCCGAGAGGAUCUUGCUCUGUAGUUCAGUCAGGACUCAAACUCAUAACAAUCCUCCUGCCUCAGCCUUCCAAGUGCUUGGGAUUACAGGCCCGUGUCACCACGCCUGGCCACAUGCAAGAAUUCUUAUUCAUAAACUAGUUUAUAAAGUUUUAUCAAGUGCCAACAUUAAAACCCA